rnacentral:misc_RNA from 1 species
UCGAGUUUUGAACGGGUUGUUGCUGGCCUCAUACGGGGCAUGUGCACGCCUGACUUCAUCCACUCUUCAACCUCUGUGCACUUAUUGUAGGCUAGCGUAAAGGUCGCAUUCAUUUGCGGCUGGAAGCCUGUCUACGUUUUACUACAAACGCUUCAGUUAUAGAAUGUUUAUCUGCGUAUAACGCAUUUAUAUA